rnacentral:rRNA from 1 species
AGCGGGAUGAGCUCAAAUUUGUAAUCUGGCGGCCUUUGGCCGUCCGAGUUGUAGUCUGGAGAAGCGUUUUCCGCGUCGGACCGUGUACAAGUCCCUUGGAACAGGGCGUCGUAGAGGGUGAGAAUCCCGUCUUUGACACGGACUGCCGAUGCUUUGUGAUGCGCUCUCGAAGAGUCGAGUUGUUUGGGAAUGCAGCUCAAAACGGGUGGUAAAUUCCAUCUAAAGCUAAAUACGGGCGAAAGACCGAUAGCGAACAAGUACCGUGAGGGAAAGAUGAAAAGCACUUUGGAAAGAGAGUUAAACAGUACGUGAAAUUGUUGAAAGGGAAACGCUUGAAGUCAGUCGCGUCUCCUGGGACUCAGCCUUGCUUCUGCUCGGUGUACUUCCUGGGGUUGACGGGCCAGCAUCGAUUUUGACCGUCGGAGAAAGGCCUUGGGAACGUGGCACCCUUUGGGUGUGUUAUAGCCCUCGGUCGUAUGCGACGGUUGGGAUCGAGGACCGCAGCACGCCUUUUUGGCCGGGGUUCGCCCACGUACGUGCUUAGGAUGCUGGCGUAAUGGCUUUAAGCGACCCGUCUUGAAACACGGACCAAGGAGUCUAACAUGCCUGCGAGUGUUUGGGUGGUAAACCCGGACGCGAAAUGAAAGUGAAAGGUUGGGACCUCUGUCGUGGAGGGCACCGACGCCCGGACCAGACCUUUUGUGACGGUUCCGAGGUAGAGCAUGCAUGCUGGGACCCGAAAGAUGGUGAACUAUGCUUGAGUAGGGUGAAGCCAGAGGAAACUCUGGUGGAGGCUCGUAGCGAUUCUGACGUGCAAAUCGAUCGUCGAACU